UACGAGGGGGGCAAGCGUUGUUCGGAAUCACUGGGCUUAAAGGGCGCGUAGGCGGGCUGUCAAGUCUGGGGUGAAAUCCCACGGCUCAACCGUGGAACUGCCUUAGAUACUGACGGCCUCGAGGAAGGUAGGGGCAUGCGGAACUGUAGGUGGAGCGGUGAAAUGCGUUGAUAUCUACAGGAACUCCGGUGGCGAAAGCGGCGUGCUGGACCUUUUCUGACGCUGAGGCGCGAAAGCUAGGGGAGCAAACGGG
rnacentral:rRNA from 1 species